GGCGACCGGCGCACGGGUGAGUAACACGUAUCCAACCUGCCGUUUACUCUUGGAUAGCCUUCUGAAAAGGAGAUUAAUACAAGAUGGCGUCGUGGUUUUUCAUGAAAGCGUGACUAAAGGAGCAAUCCGGUAAACGAUGGGGAUGCGUUCCAUUAGAUAGUAGGCGGGGUAACGGCCCACCUAGUCAACGAUGGAUAGGGGUUCUGAGAGGAAGGUCCCCCACAUUGGAACUGAGACACGGUCCAAACUCCUACGGGAGGCAGCAGUGAGGAAUAUUGGUCAAUGGACGAGAGUCUGAACCAGCCAAGUAGCGUGAGGGAUGACUGCCCUAUGGGUUGUAAACUUCUUUUAUAAAGGAAUAAAACGAGGCACGUGUGCCUUUUUGCAUGUACUUUAUGAAUAAGGAUCGGCUAACUCCGUGCCAGCAGCCGCGGUAAUACGGAGGAUCCGAGCGUUAUCCGGAUUUAUUGGGUUUAAAGGGAGCGUAGAUGGGUUGUUA
rnacentral:rRNA from 1 species